GUGCCUUAAGAGCAUUCGGUGGAUGCCUUGGCAUCGAGAGGCGAUGAAGGACGUGGUACGCUGCGAAAAGUCACGGGGAGGUGCGAACAACCUUUGAUCCGUGAAUGUCCGAAUGGGGAAACCCACCCGUUAAGGGUACCCGCAAGGGAGCGAACCGGGGGAAGUGAAACAUCUCAGUACCCUUAGGAAAAGAAAUCAAUUGAGAUUCCCUCAGUAGCGGCGAGCGAACGGGGAAAAGCCCAUUAAGUCAUAUAAGUUCUAGUGGAAUGCUCUGGGAAGUGCAACCAUAGUGGGUGAUAGUCCUGUACACGAAAGGGCUGAUAUGAUGAUGUCGAGUAGGGCGGGGCACGUGAAACCUUGUCUGAAUAUGGGGGGACCAUCCUCCAAGGCUAAAUACUCUCUAUCGACCGAUAGUGAACCAGUACCGUGAGGGAAAGGCGAAAAGAACCCCGGAGAGGGGAGUGAAAUAGAACCUGAAACCGGAUGCCUACAAACAGUUGAAGCCCAAGGU
rnacentral:rRNA from 1 species